rnacentral:lncRNA from 1 species
AGCAGAACCCCGCGCCGCCUGCUCGUGCCGCCCCCUCCUCCGCUGGCCGCCGACUCGCAGAAGGGACGCCCCAGCCGGCUCGGCUCGAGAUUCCCGCUCGAUCACCAGGCUGUUCCGUCCGUCCGUGUCUCCUGGGCCCUAUCCUGCCGGGCCGGCUUCGCAGCACCCAGGGCCAAGCCCUCAAGCGUGAGCCCAGUGGGCAGGGGACUCGCAGCACUUUUCAGAAAAAGCUCUGUUCUUGCGGCUCGGGACCCGACCGAGCUCGGCCCCACAGCGGCCCCGCAGCCGUAGGCCGCGCACCCAGCCUUCAGGGAAAAGCAGCUCCCCCGGGCUCCGCUGUUGGUCGAUCGUGGCUCCUCCCGAGGCGCCCCCUUCCCCCUGGGCUCUUCUGCGGGCUGCCCUUGGCCUCGGCCUGCCGGGCCUUCCAUGACCUCUGACCCCUCUUGGUGCGAACAAGGCCAGACAGACGUUUUGCAGCGGACAUGAAGGAGCUGUGUGCGCGCUGCGUGCCUGUCCUCUCCUCGGCGUGUGGAGCGUGUGUGUUGUGUACCCGUUUGGGUCUGUGUAUGCCCAGCGGGCUUUCUGCAAGUCUGGACCCUGGCUGCAGACCGCGCUGGUCAGGCCCUCACAGAGGAAGGGCCCAAAGCAGGAGCAAGAAAGAGUAAAGCCGUUGGGCUGGCCUGGCCUUCGCUGGAAGCGAGAGGCUGGUUUAGCGCACCCCUGCGCUGCCCCGGAAACUUCCCAGAGGCCCACACCGGGCCAGGGGCCUGCCUGGCCUCAGCCCUCAGUCGGCUCCACCCCAGCCAGGUGGGUAAGGUUGCCUGGACCCCGGUUCUGCUCAGGACCCAGAUAGGGUGCCUGGCAGCUUAUCUGCGACGUGGCGGGGAGGCCAGAGAAUCAGAGAAGUUAUCUGAUGGGAGCCCAGCACGUAGGCUGCUUCUCUACUGGGGCACCCAGAGUGAGAGUCAGCACAGGUGAGCUGAUUGCCAGGUCCCGAGGAGCCCAGCUGGAACCCGUUGUGGGACUCCUCCUGGCUCCACUGCUGGAAUCACUGCCCCAUCCUUCCCCAAAAGGUGGCCCAGGCAGGUUCAGGAAAGCCCUGCCUGCCCCAAGCUGCUCAGGAUCUGCUGAGGAAUUUCAUUUUAUUGGACAAUAGUUUAAGCAGGUGUGAAAGUCCCCUGGGACCGACUCCGUUACCUGAAUCUGAGCAGCCUGGCCAUCACUCUGCAGAUAACGGAGCAUCCUUCUCCCGGCCACAUCCCGACUGGCAUCAGGUGCUGGGGAGGGAGCAGGGUCAUGGUUAUAAGGGCUCACAAUGCCCUUGCACUCGGGACCUGGGCUGUGCCUGAAACGCACAGGGGACAGAAGGAACAGCCAAGCUAGUAGAUGUGACCUUGUGACCCAGAGCUUGGAGGAGCCACCCCUGAGGGUACAUCUGGGGCUAUAAUUUCGUUUGUGUUUCCCUGUGACCCUCCUCCAGGCCCCAGGCCAGGGUUUGCUGUGGCUGGGCUUCUAGGGGGCUUAGUUGAUAGCGCUUUGGGUCCGGUAGUGGGGUCUUGGUUCUAACUUCUCAGGCAGAGGCUGGUGGGGCACUGGGUCAUGGCUGAGGAGAAAUCUGAGUCUGAGGACCAGGGGUAGAGUGAAGAUGGUUCAGGGCUGGGGUCCCCUUACUUAAGCUGGUCCAGUGUUGGCCAGUGGGGAUUGGGGGGCUGUUCUGGCCCCACAUUUAAAAACUAAAUUUCUAACAGUAGCUUAUUGUUUCUGCCACUGCCGAGAGCCAGGUGGGCAGGUGGGGGUUAGCACAGCCAAGAUGCCCUCUUGACCUCCACCUUCAGCACAGACUGGUGACCUUUUUCCAGGAGAGAUGUGUCCUGAGAGACUCUGCAGCCAGGACACCCCCCCCCCCAGGCUGCCUUUUGAGGCCUGAUCCCCAUGCAGGUGAAAACCCCCAUGGUCCUAGAAAGCGUGUAUCCCAGGGCUAGGAGUAUCCUCGAGACCAGCAUCUAGCCCCUGGGUAGGAGCUGCUACCCUGCUAGCUGUGGAACUCUGUGUGUGUGUGUGUGUGUGUGCUGCGUGUUUGAGGUACUGUGUGUGCAGAAGGUGUGUGUGAGACAGGGUGGGGGUGAGCAGACCUGGAGGCCCAGAUCUCAGCCUGGUUCCUUCUUCUCACCGAAACCGUGGGGGCUCCAACUAAUGGCCCCUGCCCUUCCCCCACCCUCCCUAGGGAAGUCUGACCCUCUCUGGCUGUUGUCCCCAGAGCCCACAUGGCAACCCUUUCUCGGGACAGUGGUUAAGGCGGCAGCACCAGGAACUCUCCGCCAGGAGUCUAGCCUCUUGCCCCGCUUUGGGCGAAAACUCAGAGGGGCGGGGUGUAGGGCUGCGGGCCAAGGACCUGGUGCCCUGUGUCACUGCCGUGUGCCCACCAGCCCUUCCUCUGCCACUGGCUGUGGGGUGUGCUGGUGCAGAGGGUGAAGGGAGGGGGCUGCUGUGGACGGACUGGAGGCGUGGGGUCCCACCUGGGCUGCCCUGCUCCACCGGGCCUGUGGAUUGCUUGCAGGAGCAGGUGCAGCCAGACCGCUUAGCCCCUCCCACCCCAGGCUCCUGCAACUCCAAAUCCCUUCUAGGCAGCGCUGGGGGCGGGGGACAAGGUCCCCCGCCUGGAUAGGGGCUGCUGGGGCACCCCCAUGGCCCCUUGAGGGAGGCACAGCCAGCUACAGCUUGCUGGGCCGUGGUGGGCUCGAUUAGCCCCCUGUUUUAUUCAAUUAGGAGGCAAUUAGGGACCCUUGGGGGGCUGUACUGGUAAUUAAGGUGAUGUAUAAUUAGAGUUUCAACAAAAAUUAUCCAGGAUUAAAAAUCUUUUGAAUAAUUUCGUUUAAAAUUUUCAAAUAGCCUUAAAUACAAUUUAUCAGGUUUUGAAUCAAACCCGUGUAUCAAGCGUUGGAAGCUGCAGCUCACGUAGCAAGCGCUGGAGGACAAGGAGUGGCCAGGGCGCCUUCCCUGUGCGGGAAAGAAACUUCCUGAGGAGGAGGGAGCCUGCCGGGCCUCGCCGCAGUGCAGCGCUCGGCUUGGGCGCAGAGUCGGGCUACCUGGCCCGAGGGCCAUUAGGCGUGCAUCGGCGUGAGUCGGGCUAAGGGACUCCGGACCCUGCGGGUGGUUGCCGAGGCUCCUUGGCCCCCAGCGCACAAUGUCGCAGCCGCUACCGCCCAUGGGUUAGCGCUCGCGUCUACAGGGGCGCAGUCGCUGACCCCGACCCAGCCAUAACGGUGCCUUUCUCCUUCUGGUCCCUGGUCCAGUCCCAAGGGUCCCCGCCUCUUGGCUUCCGGGGUGGAAAAGGACAGUGUCUGCGCUUGACUCCCCAGACCCUUGCCCCCGGUGCCGGCUCGCCCUUCACUGCCACUGUGCUGACCUGCAUAGAGAGUGCGGGGGUGCAGCCAGGGUUCAAGUCAAGCCAUGAGGGUCAGGAUCCUCCAGGGAAACUGUGAGGGGGAGGGAGAGGGCUUUCCAGGGCUGUGCUGGGCCCUGCGCCCUUCUGAGCAUGAUCCCUGAGCCCAGGUUCAGCCUGGUGGAGUUUGGGCUGCAGCUUGAGCCCCAGUCCUGCUGGGCAGCCUUAGGAAGCUAAGCAGGGUUCUCCGUAGGGGAGCCCCAGGUACAUUACCCCACUCUCCCCUCUUUGAUUCUGGGAGGCACGGAGUAGCUGGCACCUCUUAUAGGUAUAAAAACCCCAGGUACAGAGUGCAGCUCUCAAAGCCGCACAGCAAGUUCAGGGUUCAGGAAGUCAGUUAUGUGAAGACUCCCAGGUCUUCUUGUGCAGCACCCCCAACCCACAGGGCACUGCAGAUGGUGGCUAAUUCCAUAGGGGUUUUAAUUUUUUUCUCUCUCGUGUGUCCAGAUCUAAGCAUUUUUUCCAAGGCUGGUGCUCGGUUUGGAACAGGUCUGUUUAAAAGGCAAGACAGACAUCCAUGUGCCACUGCUUGUGAACGUGGCGGGAGUGAGCUCUUAUCUCUGCUGCCAGCAGGUUGGAUUCUUUAUUUGCUCAGGGCUGGACUUUCUGCUCCAGGGAGCUGUGACCAAGCUUCUCCCCACCGGGCUAUAGGUGCCCUCUCACAAGGGCAGCUGUAAAGUAGCCAAAGUGUUGACCAGGGAGAGUAUUCUCUGCACCCCUCUGCCCCCAUCAUCUUCCUCCUUCCCAGAGCAAGCCCAGGACUCUGUGCCUGGCCCAGGAGGUGUAGGAACCUGUCUGCUCCCCCCACCCAACCUGGAGGGAAGUAAUCAACCUUCCCCUGCUCCAGGCAAUCAGAGAGACUUGGAGUGGCUGCUGCUUCUAACGCCAGCUGUUGCUGCUGCUGUUGCUGCUGCUGCUGCUGCUACCACUGCGGCUGCAUGGCCUGAGCUGCAGGGCCCAAGUGAGGUAGCUGGUCCAGCUUGGAAUCAGCCGUUGUUCCUCAAGUCUGUGACCUCAUGCGUCCACAGUGUCCAUUGUAGGCUGAGUUCCCCCAGCUCUAAUGCCCCUGAGCAAGGAAAGGCUGGCCUCUUCCUGCUCUGACUGUGCUCUUCUCCGGGUUUCAACACCGAAUCCUCACCGCCUGGAGGUGCCCUGGCCGGCCCUCGGGCCAGCCUCUCCUGACUCGGAGGAACAAUGCCGGAGCUGGAAGACAGGAGAGCCGACCACUGGAGAUACAUAUUUAUUUAAUAGUUAACAUUUUGUGCAAAAAAGGAGGGAAGUCGGAUUCUGGUGGGGGCUUUGCUUAUUUUAUAUCCACUAUAACUAUUUCUGUCCAUGAAAAUUGGCUUAAUUAUAUCAAUGGAAUGUUUCUUUUUCAAUUCUGUAUGCAAUUAGUCCAUCUUGCCGGCUGCAAUUUAUUUUAAUAAAAAAAUAAACCAGUGGUGUGUUCAGUUCCUCG